rnacentral:rRNA from 1 species
UACGUAGGGUGCGAGCGUUAAUCGGAAUUACUGGGCGUAAAGCGUGCGCAGGCGGUUUUGUAAGCCAGAUGUGAAAUCCCCGGGCUUAACCUGGGAAUGGCAUUUGGGACUGCAAGGCUGGAGUUUGGCAGAGGAGACUGGAAUUCCCGGUGUAGCAGUGAAAUGCGUAGAUAUCGGGAGGAAUACCGAUGGCGAAGGCGGGUCUCUGGACAGUUCCUGACACUGAGGCACGAAGGCCAGGGGAGCAAACGGG